AGUGGAUUAGCGGCGGACGGGUGAGUAACACGUGGGUAACCUGCCUCAAAGUGGGGGAUAGCCUUCCGAAAGGAAGAUUAAUACCGCAUAAUAUAAGAGAAUCGCAUGAUUUUCUUAUCAAAGAUUUAUUGCUUUGAGAUGGACCCGCGGCGCAUUAGCUAGUUGGUAAGGUAACGGCUUACCAAGGCAACGAUGCGUAGCCGACCUGAGAGGGUGAUCGGCCACAUUGGAACUGAGACACGGUCCAGACUCCUACGGGAGGCAGCAGUGGGGAAUAUUGCGCAAUGGGGGAAACCCUGACGCAGCAACGCCGCGUGGGUGAUGAAGGUCUUCGGAUUGUAAAGCCCUGUUUUCUAGGACGAUAAUGACGGUACUAGAGGAGGAAGCCACGGCUAACUACGUGCCAGCAGCCGCGGUAAUACGUAGGUGGCGAGCGUUGUCCGGAUUUACUGGGCGUAAAGGGUGCGUAGGCGGAUGUUUAAGUGGGAUGUGAAAUCCCCGGGCUUAACCUGGGGGCUGCAUUCCAAACUGGAUAUCUAGAGUGCAGGAGAGGAAAGCGGAAUUCCUAGUGUAGCGGUGAAAUGCGUAGAGAUUAGGAAGAACACCAGUGGCGAAGGCGGCUUUCUGGACUGUAACUGACGCUGAGGCACGAAAGCGUGGGUAGCAAACAGGAUUAGAUACCCUGGUAGUCCACGCCGUAAACGAUGGAUACUAGGUGUAGGGGGUAUCAACUCCCCCUGUGCCGCAGUUAACACAAUAAGUAUCCCGCCUGGGGAGUACGGUCGCAAGAUUAAAACUCAAAGGAAUUGACGGGGGCCCGCACAAGCAGCGGAGCAUGUGGUUUAAUUCGAAGCAACGCGAAGAACCUUACCUGGACUUGACAUCCCUUGCAUAGCCUAGAGAUAGGUGAAGCCCUUCGGGGCAAGGAGACAGGUGGUGCAUGGUUGUCGUCAGCUCGUGUCGUGAGAUGUUAGGUUAAGUCCUGCAACGAGCGCAACCCUUGUUAUUAGUUGCUACCAUUAAGUUGAGCACUCUAAUGAGACUGCCUGGGUAACCAGGAGGAAGGUGGGGAUGACGUCAAAUCAUCAUGCCCCUUAUGUCCAGGGCUACACACGUGCUACAAUGGUAGGUACAAUAAGACGCAAGACCGUGAGGUGGAGCAAAACUUAUAAAACCUAUCUCAGUUCGGAUUGUAGGCUGCAACUCGCCUACAUGAAGCUGGAGUUGCUAGUAAUCGCGAAUCAGAAUGUCGCGGUGAAUACGUUCCCGGGCCUUGUACACACCGCCCGUCACACCAUGAGAGCUGGUAACACCCGAAGUCCGUGAGGUAACC
rnacentral:rRNA from 1 species